rnacentral:rRNA from 1 species
GACGAAAGAGGGAGGCGUGCCUAAUACAUGCAAGUCGAACGCUUCUUUCCUCCCGAGUGCUUGCACUCAAUUGGAAAGAGGAGUGGCGGACGGGUGAGUAACACGUGGGUAACCUACCCAUCAGAGGGGGAUAACACUUGGAAACAGGUGCUAAUACCGCAUAACAGUUUAUGCCGCAUGGCAUAUGAGUGAAAGGCGCUUUCGGGUGUCGCUGAUGGAUGGACCCGCGGUGCAUUAGCUAGUUGGUGAGGUAACGGCUCACCAAGGCCACGAUGCAUAGCCGACCUGAGAGGGUGGUCGGCCACACUGGGACUGAGACACGGCCCAGACUCCUACGGGAGGCAGCAGUAGGGAAUCUUCGGCAAUGGACGAAAGUCGGACCGAGCAACGCCGCGUGAGUGAAGAAGGUGUUCGGAUCGGAAAACUCUGUUGUUAGAGAAGAACAAGGACGUUAGUAACUGAACGUCCCCUGACGGUAUCUAACCAGAAAGCCACGGCUAACUACGUG